rnacentral:rRNA from 1 species
AAGUCGAACGCUUCUUUCCUCCCGAGUGCUUGCACUCAAUUGGAAAGAGGAGUGGCGGACGGGUGAGUAACACGUGGGUAACCUACCCAUCAGAGGGGGAUAACACUUGGAAACAGGUGCUAAUACCGCAUAACAGUUUAUGCCGCAUGGCAUAAGAGUGGAAGGCGCUUUCGGGCGUCGCUGAUGGAUGGACCCGCGGUGCAUUAGCUAGUUGGUGAGGUAACGGCUCACCAAGGCCACGAUGCAUAGCCGACCUGAGAGGGUGAUCGGCCACACUGGGACUGAGACACGGCCCAGACUCCUACGGGAGGCAGCAGUAGGGAAUCUUCGGCAAUGGACGAAAGUCUGACCGAGCAACGCCGCGUGAGUGAAGAAGGUUUUCGGAUCGUAAAACUCUGUUGUUAGAGAAGAACAAGGACGUUAGUAACUGAACGUCCCCUGACGGUAUCUAACCAGAAAGCCACGGCUAACUACGUGCCAGCAGCCGCGGUAAUACGUAGGUGGCAAGCGUUGUCCGGAUUUAUUGGGCGUAAAGCGAGCGCAGGCGGUUUCUUAAGUCUGAUGUGAAAGCCCCCGGCUCAACCGGGGAGGGUCAUUGGAAACUGGGAGACUUGAGUGCAGAAGAGGAGAGUGGAAUUCCAUGUGUAGCGGUGAAAUGCGUAGAUAUAUGGAGGAACACCAGUGGCGAAGGCGGCUCUCUGGUCUGUAACUGACGCUGAGGCUCGAAAGCGUGGGGAGCAAACAGG